GUGCCAGCAGCCGCGGUAAUACGGAGGAUGCAAGCGUUAUCCGGAUUUAUUGGGUUUAAAGGGUGCGCAGGUGGCUUUGUAAGUCAGUGGUGAAAGUCUGCCGCUUAACGGUAGGAUUGCCAUUGAUACUGCGGAGCUUGAGUUUGGAUGAGGUAGGCGGAAUGAGUAGUGUAGCGGUGAAAUGCAUAGAUAUUACUCAGAACACCGAUUGCGAAGGCAGCUUACUAAUCCACAACUGACACUGAGGCAC
rnacentral:rRNA from 1 species